rnacentral:snRNA from 1 species
GCCAGUUACAGCUCUUUCAGAAUUUGUCCUAGCAGGCCUUAUGCCGGUUGUUGGAAAGCCCGC